rnacentral:lncRNA from 1 species
GAUUGCACAAAUUAUCCAAUUAAAGGUAAAAUGCCCGCGGAUCUAGGCAAAAGGCGCACUGAUUCCACCCCCUAUGCUGUUUUGUUUUCUUACUAAUUGAAACCUUAUUUGUUUCUUUUUUUUUUAACAUUUAAAAAACUUAUUAGAAAACCCAAAAAUUUAAAACAUCAUUCUCUUCAUUCAUUUUUUAAACAGAGAGAAGACUCUUUACCUGAACGUCGAAUUCGACGAAAAAGAAAGCCACCGUUAUAGCCAUGGACGAAAUCCCCUGCCCGAACCUCUACACUUCCCAGGAAUUCGGGUUCUUAAUGGCCAAGACCCAGGUAAAACCCUCUCUUUAAUUCUUAUUUCAAACAUAUUUGCAUAAGAAACAAGUAAUAAACAAGAAAGAAAAAAAAAUAGAAACGCAAAUAUAAAGAAAAACCAGAGAAAAAAGUAAAAGUAACCUUUAGAACUUUGAGUCUGAUUCCUUUUAUUGAUUUCUCUUUUGUAUGUAUUUGCUCCCUUUUACAUUUGGUUUGAUUCGGUUUUAUAGUCUAUUUUUACAACCAUUUUUAACUAUUGCAGGUGCGUGAUCGAGUAGAUCUCUGACGUGGCUUGGUGGAGGAGCGUACGGCACGGAGGAAGCGCCCGACAUGCGGGGAAGGUGUGCUGUUGGCUGCGGCGCAAGGGUGGUCUGCCUAGGGUUUCUUUGGCUGAAAAUUGUUAAGGUUUUGGGCCUUUUUGGGCUAGGUUUUAUUUGGGUUAUUUAGGGUUUGGGUUUCCAUUUUGCAUUGGGCUGUUUGUACUUUGGGCCAUGGUUUGAAAUUUGGGUUUGAAUUUGUAAACAUAGUGGGCCGUUUAUUUUGGUUUUUUUUAUGUGCCCUGGGCUGAAUUGGGCCAUAACAAUAACAAUAUACAUUUCAUUAGCAAUCUCAUAGCAUAGCAAAAAGUAACAGUUUAUUCGAGCAUGCUUAUGCAUGAUGAUGCAAUACAUAGAAAUUUCAAUUUAAUAGUAUAAAUAGGUCCCACCCCACCACUACACUCCACAACAAGAGUUCCUUAGAACUCUUAUAUCCUAGAAACUCUAGUUUAUGAAUAAAACACUAGUGUUGCUAGUUAAUACGCUGCCACUAGUUUUGAAAACACAAUGGGUUUAAAGACAAGCUGCCAAUAAAAAUUAUGGAUCAACCAUUAGUGCUUGCAGGUUAAUACGCUAUUAAUAGUUGUGAAUACACAAUGGAUUUGCAAAUUAAAGCUGUCAG